rnacentral:tRNA from 1 species
GCUUUCAUGGUUCAAUUAGUUAGAGCAUCCGUUUAGUAAGUGGAAGGUUUUGGAUUCGAAUCUCAAUGAAAACA